rnacentral:rRNA from 1 species
GACAACGGCUGGCGGCGUGGAGUUAGGCAUGCAAGUCGAACGGUAGGAUACCUUCGGGUAUCUGAGAGUGGCGAACGGGUGAGUAACACGUAGGUGAUCUACCCUCAAGAUUGGGACAACCCAGGGAAACUUGGGCUAAUACCGGAUGAAAGCAGCAGUGAUGUUGUUUGAAAGGUGGCGUAAGCUGCCGUUUGGGGAUGAGCCUGCGCUCUAUUAGUUAGUUGGCGGGGUAAAGGCCCACCAAGGCGAUGAUAGAUAGGCGGCCUUAACGGGUGGUCGCCCACACUGGGAUUGAGAUACGGCCCAGACUCCUACGGGAGGCAGCAGUCGAGAAUAGUCUACAAUGGCCGAAAGGCUGAUAGUGCGACGCCGCGUGAACGAAGAAGCCCUUCGGGGUGUAAAGUUCUUUUAUAUGUGAGCAGUGCUUUCUAUGUGAACAGCAUGGGGAGACGAGAUAUUAGCAUAUGAAUAAGCAACGGCUAACUCCGUG